rnacentral:rRNA from 1 species
GACGAACGCUGGCGGCGUGCUUAACACAUGCAAGUCGAACGGUAAGGCCCUUCGGGGUACACGAGUGGCGAACGGGUGAGUAACACGUGGGUGAUCUGCCCUGCACUUCGGGAUAAGCCUGGGAAACUGGGUCUAAUACCGGAUAGGACCACUGCCUGCAUGGGUGGUGGUGGAAAGCUUUUGCGGUGUGGGAUGGGCCCGCGGCCUAUCAGCUGGUUGGUGGGGUGACGGCCUACCAAGGCGAUGACGGGUAGCCGGCCUGAGAGGGUGACCCGCCACACUGGGACUGAGAUACGGGCCAGACGCCUACGGGAGGCAGCAGUGGGGAAUAUUGCACAAUGGGCGCAAGCCUGAUGCAGCGACGCCGCGUGAGGGAUUACGGCCUUCGGGUUGUAAACCUCUUUCAGCACCGACGAAGCGCAAGUGACGGUAGGUGCAGAAGAAGGACCGGCCAACUACGUGCCAGCAGCCGCGGUAA